CACGUAGGGGCCAAGCGUUGUCCGGAUUUAUUGGGCGUAAAGAGCUCGUAGGCGGUUCGACAAGUCGGGUGUGAAAACUCCGGGCUCAACCCGGAGACGCCACCCGAUACUGUCGUGACUGGAGUCCGGUAGGGGAGUGGGGAAUUCCUGGUGUAGCGGUGAAAUGCGCAGAUAUCAGGAGGAACACCGGUGGCGAAGGCGCCACUCUGGGCCGAAACUGACGCUGAGGAGCGAAAGCGUGGGUAGCAAACAGG
rnacentral:rRNA from 1 species